UACGUAGGGACCAAGCGUUGUUCGGAUUUACUGGGCGUAAAGGGCGCGUAGGCGGCGCGGUAAGUCACUUGUGAAAUCUCUGAGCUUAACUCAGAACGGCCAAGUGAUACUGCAGUGCUAGAGUGUGGGAGAGGCAUAUGGAAUGCCCGGUGUAGCGGUAAAAUGCGUUAAUAUCGGGUAGAACACCAAAGGCGAAAGCAAUAUGCUGGAACACAACUGACGCUCAUGAACGAAAGCGUGGGUAGCGAAAGGG
rnacentral:rRNA from 1 species